rnacentral:rRNA from 1 species
CUGCGAGUGAAGCGGCAAAAGCUCAAAUUUGAAAUCGGUGUCCUUAAAGUGCAUCGAGUUGUAAUUUGGAGGGACAACUUCGGGGCGAACCACACCGUAAGUUUUUUGGAACAGGACAUCAUAGAGGGUGAGAAUCCCGUGUCUUGGUGUAGGGUCAAAUGUGAAGUGUCUCCGACGAGUCGAGUUGUUUGGGAAUGCAGCUCAAAAUGGGUGGUAAAUUUCAUCUAAAGCUAAAUAUUGGCGAGAGACCGAUAGCGCACAAGUAGAGUGAUCGAAAGAUGAAAAGCACUUUGAAAAGAGAGUUAAAAAGUACGUGAAAUUGUUGAAAGGGAAGCGCUUGCGACCAGACUCGAUCUUUGGAGAUCAGCCGGGCUUCGGUCCGGUGCCCUCUCCAUCGAUUGGGCCAGCAUCGGUUCUGACGGUGGGAUAAAAGGAGGAGGAAUGUGGCUCCCCUUGGGGAGUGUUAUAGCCACCUUCACAAUGCUACCAGUUGGGACCGAGGACCGCGCUUCGGCUAGGAUGCUGGUGUAAUGGUCUUAAGCGACCCGUCUUGAAACACGGACCAAGGAGUCUAACAUCUAUGCGAGUG